rnacentral:rRNA from 1 species
AGUGAACGCUGGCGGCGUGCUUAACACAUGCAAGUCGAACGAGAACGGAUUAUAGCUUGCUAUAAUUGUCAGCUAAGUGGCGCACGGGUGAGUAAUGUAUAGAUAACCUGCCCUCUAGAAAGGAAUAACAGUUGGAUACGACUGCUAAUGCCCUAUAUGCCUUUAAUACAUAAGUAUGCAAGGGAAACGCUGUAGUGCUAGAGGAUGGGUCUGUAUGGUAUCAGCUAGUUGGUGAGGUAAUGGCUCACCAAGGCUAUGACGCCUAACUGGUUUGGGAGGAUGAUCAGUCACACUGGAACUGAGACACGGUCCAGACUCCUACGGGAGGCAGCAGUGGGGAAUAUUGCACAAUGGACGAAAGUCUGAUGCAGCAACGCCGCGUGGAGGAUGACACAUUUCGGUGCGUAAACUCCUUUUAUAUAGGAAGACAAUGACGGUACUAUAUGAAUAAGCACCGGCUAACUCCGUGCCAGCCGCCGCCGUAA